GACGAACGCUGGCGGCGUGCUUAACACAUGCAAGUCGAACGAUGAAGAAAAGAAUCGAAGCUUCGGCAGAAAUUCAUUUCGGAUUAGUGGCAGACGGGUGAGUAACGCGUGAGCAACCUACCUCUUACAAAGGGAUAGCCUCGGGAAACCGGGAUUAAUACCAUAUAACAUUGUGACGAAGCAUUUCGAUGCAAUCAAAGCUACGGCGGUAAGAGAUGGGCUCGCGUCACAUUAACCGGCUGGUGAGGUAACGGCUCACCAUAGGGACGAUGGGUAACCGGCCUGAGAGGGUGAACGGUCACACUGGAACUGAGACACGGUCCAGACUCCUACGGGAGGCAGCAGUGGGGAAUAUUGCACAAUGGAGGGAACUCUGAUGCAGCGACGCCGCGUGAGUGAUGAAGGAAUUCGUUUCGUAAAACUCUGUUCUAUGGGAAGAAAAGGACUGUACCAUAGGAGAAAGCUCCGGCUAAAUACGUG
rnacentral:rRNA from 1 species